rnacentral:rRNA from 1 species
CAUAGCGAGGAAAAGAACCAACAGGGAUUGCCCCAGUAACGGCGAGUGAAGCGGCAACAGCUCAAAUUUGAAAUCUGGCCCCAGGCCCGAGUUGUAAUUUGCAGAGGAUGCUUUUGGCGCGGUGCCUUCCGAGUUCCCUGGAACGGGACGCCAUAGAGGGUGAGAGCCCCGUACGGUUGGACACCAAGCCUUUGUAAAGCUCCUUCGACGAGUCGAGUAGUUUGGGAAUGCUGCUCUAAAUGGGAGGUACAUUUCUUCUACAGCUAAAUAUUGGCCAGAGACCGAUAGCGCACAAGUAGAGUGAUCGAAAGAUGAAAAGCACUUUGAAAAGAGGGUUAAACAGCACGUGAAAUUGUUAAAAGGGAAGCGCUUGUGACCAGACUUGCGUCCGGUGAAUCACCCAGCUCUCGCGGCUGGGGCACUUCGCCGGCACAGGCCAGCAUCAGCUUGCCGUCGGGGACAAAAGCUUCAGGAACGUGGCUCCUCUCGGGGAGUGUUAUAGCCUGUUGCACAAUACCCUUCGGCGGGCUGAGGUACGCGCUCCGCAAGGAUGCUGGCGUAAUGGUCAUCAGCGACCCGUCUUGAAACACGGACCAAGGAGUCAACCUUAUGUGCGAGUGUUUGGGUGUCAAACCCCUACGCGUAAUGAAAGUGAACGCAGGUGAGAGCUUCGGCGCAUCAUCGACCGAUCCUGAUGUUCUCGGAUGGAUUUGAGUAAGAGCAUAUAGGGUUGGACCCGAAAGAAGGUGAACUAUGCGUGUGUAGGGUGAAGCCAGAGGAAACUCUGGUGGAGGCUCGCAGCGGUUCUGACGUGCAAAUCGAUCGUCAAACAUGCGCAUGGGGCGAAAG